rnacentral:misc_RNA from 1 species
AACUUUUGGCAAUGGAUCACUUGGCUCUUGCAUCGAUGACGAACGCAGCGAAAUGCGAUAAGUAAUGUGAAUUGCAGAAUUCAGUGAAUCAUCGAAUCUUUGAACGCACCUUGCGCUCUUUGGUAAUCCGAAGAGCAUGCCUGUUUGAGUGUCAUGAAAUUCUCAACCUUUCAAGCUUUUUUAAAAGGCUUAGUUAGGCUUGGAUCUUGGAAGCCUGCUGGCUCUAGUAGCUCAGCUCUUCUUAAAUGCAUUAGCGAGAUUAAUCACUAAAUCAUCUUUUGAUAUGAUAAUUAUCUAUAUCAUCAAUGAAACAGUGUUUGUCUGCUUCUAAUCUGUGUCUCUAUUGAAUCAUUUGACCUCAAAUCAGGUAGGACUACCCGCUGAACUUAAGCAUAUCAAUAAGCGGAGGCU